AGAAAAAACUGUGUGGGUGAAAGCCACAUUAAACUUCCUCUGCAUGCUGACAGACCACUUUCAAUCUGUGAACUUGAAUUUUGAUGUUACACGCGACGAAGAAAGCUUCUGAGGUGCAGAGGAGUCUCUGCUCGGAUCUGUUAAGCAAUAGCUUCAGCACUUAAGGGGGGUUUUAUGUGCUUCAGAUUGUUUGUUAAUUUCUUAAGAGACGUGUUUACCUCAAACACAUGAUGCAAAAAAGCUUUAUUUUUCUGAUUAUUAUUUGGAACACAUCUCCUUUUUCCCCAGGAAACAGUAAGUAACUGUCCAAAUAAUUGAUAUUUCACUAUGUCUUACAAAUAAUAUUUGGAAGUGACUUUGUUCUUGUAAUUGAUUGUUCAUAUAACAUCUCAAAAAGUUUAACAGAAAGCUUAUAUUUUAACAGCUACAACAAAUCUUCUGGAAUACCCAUUGGGAUGUCGAGCUGUGAUACCGUGUCAGCUUCACAGAAGUGAUGCGAGCACUGUCAAAUGGUUUUACAAGAAGCAAGAACAUGAUAGCAACAGAGAACGGAUACUUUUUCAAGAACAAACUGGAGUGAUAACCACAAAGCAACAUUUUGGAACCAAAAUAUUACUGCCACAGAAUAAUUAUUCCCUGGUCAUUGUUUCUUUAACAGAGAAAGAGCAAGGGCUUUACUGGUGUGAAGUUUGUGUUCAAAACAAAUGUGUGAGUGAACAACAGACAGUCGUCAGUAUAAAGAAAGAGAUAGAAACUCAAGUGACAUUCUUCAUUCCAGCAGGGCACAAUUUUACUCAUGCAUGUCCAGGUGAAUUCACAAACUUAAAAUGGACUUUUGAAGCCAGUAAAGUGACUGCAGACGGAAGCCCGGUUCAAAAUCGACUGUCGUACCCUAACCCUCUUACUUUAAACAAGUCUUUAAAGAUUUUUGAUGUCAAAUUAGAAAAUGCUGGAAAGUAUACGUGCUGGACAUAUGGAUGUAAUGAAUACUGGAAGAAGCUACUUACCAUCAACUUGUGUGUGAUAAUAGUACAUCGCAAUGAGGAUUCAUCUGUUUCUUGUGCUGUGGUGUGUGACAUGGAAUCCAGGAACAUCAAACCAAACGGCACAUUCAAUAUGAAGGCAGGCACGUGGACGAUAUCAGUGCUUGUUGGUCGAAAUGGAUCUUGCACAACAAUACCGACGUCUGGUGGAACUACUAGCACAAAGGGACCAGCAUAUGCUUUGAACAACACAAGUGUUUCAACAGGCACAGAGCCCAAGCUGAUCCCUGUUAUUUCUGCAACAUUAACAGCUCUUACAUGCCUUCUUUUGAUGGCACUUUUAAUUUACUACCUCAGAUCAAGACUACGAGGAGUGUGUCCCGUUCAGCUUUGUUGCUGUGGCUUGAAUAACAAGGUAGGUGAGGAAGAGGAAGUGACUUAUUCAUCCAUUGUCAUCAGGAGAUCUGCUGACAUAAGAAACCCUCCUACGACUAACAAUGAUUGUGUGUAUAGUGAAAUAAAUGUGGAAUUCAAAAAUUAAGAUGUUCCUGCCAAGACAAUCCCCACUCUCACUUAAAAAUAGUCAUGAUUUUUGUGUAUAGUUUUUUUGACUUCCCCUUAUAAAACAUUUUGUAUUAAUAGAAGUGUUACUUAAAUUUUGAAUCAACAGCAGCAGACAAGAAAAUAGGUGGCUGAAUUAUCUUUGCAAUAAAAAACUAUUUUGUAAACCUC